rnacentral:rRNA from 1 species
GACGAACGCUGGCGGCGUGCUUAACACAUGCAAGUCGAACGGAAAGGCCUCUUUCGGGGGGUACUCGAGUGGCGAACGGGUGAGUAACACGUGAGUAACCUGCCCUUGACUUUGGGAUAACUUCAGGAAACUGGGGCUAAUACCGGAUAGGAGCUCCUGCUGCAUGGUGGGGGUUGGAAAGUUUCGGCGGUUGGGGAUGGACUCGCGGCUUAUCAGCUUGUUGGUGGGUUAGUGGCUUACCAAGGCUUUGACGGGUAGCCGGCCUGGGAGGGUGACCGGCCACACUGGGACUGAGAUACGGCCCCGACACCUACGGGGGGGAGCAGUGGGGAAUCUUGCACAAUGGGUGGAAGCCUGAUGCAGCAACGCCGUGUGCGGGAUGACGGCCUUCGGGUUGUAAAACGCAUUCGCUCAUGACGAAGCUUUGUGUGACGGUAGUGGGUAAAGAAGCACCGGCUAACUACGUG